rnacentral:rRNA from 1 species
GAUGAACGCUGGCGGCGUGCCUAACACAUGCAAGUCGAACGGAGUCCAGCCUUUAAGACCUUCGGGUCAAAGAGGGGAAGACUGAGUGGCGGACGGGUGAGUAACACGUGGGCAACCUGGCUCAUAGAGGGGGAUAACAGAGAGAAAUUUCUGCUAAUACCGCAUAAGCACACACUGCCGCAUGGCAGAGGGUGAAAAGAGAAUCGCUAUGAGAUGGACCCGCGUCUGAUUAGCCAGUUGGCAGGGUAAGAGCCUACCAAAGCGACGAUCAGUAGCCGAUCUGAGAGGAUGAACGGCCACAUUGGGACUGAGACACGGCCCAAACUCCUACGGGAGGCAGCAGUGGGGGAUAUUGCACAAUGGGGGGAACCCUGAUGCAGCGACGCCGCGUGAGUGAAGAAGUAUUUCGGUAGGUAAAGCUCUAUCAGCAGGGAAGAUAAUGACAGUACCUGAAUAAGAAGCCCCGGCUAACUACGU